rnacentral:rRNA from 1 species
AUUGAACGCUGGCGGCGUGCCUAAUACAUGCAAGUCGAGCGGUAAGGCCCCUUCGGGGGUACACGAGCGGCGGACGGCUGAGUAACACGUAGGAACGUACCCCAAAGUGAGGGAUAACUGCUCGAAAGAGUAGCUAAUACCGCAUGUGAUCCACGGACUGAAGCUUUAUGCGCUUUGGGAACGGCCUGCGCCCGAUUAGCUUGUUGGUGAGGUAAUAGCUCACCAAGGCGAUGAUCGGUAGCUGGUCUGAGAGGAUGAUCAGCCAGACUGGGACUGAGACACGGCCCAGACUCCUACGGGAGGCAGCAGUAGGGAAUUUUCCACAAUGGGCGAAAGCCUGAUGGAGCAACGCCGCGUGCAGGAUGAAUGCCUUAGGGUUGUAAACUGCUUUUAAUAGUGACGAUUAUGACGGUAGCUAUUGAAUAAGGACCUGCUAACUACGUGCCAGCCGCCGCAGUAA